UACGUAGGGGGCAAGCGUUGUCCGGAAUCAUUGGGCGUAAAGCGCGCGUAGGCGGCCCGGUAAGUCCGCUGUGAAAGUCGGGGGCUCAACCCUCGAAUGCCGGUGGAUACUGUCGGGCUAGAGUGCGGGAGAGGCGAGUGGAAUUCCUGGUGUAGCGGUGAAAUGCGCAGAUAUCAGGAGGAACACCAAUUGCGAAGGCAGCUCGCUGGAACGUAACUGACGCUGAGACGCGAAAGCGUGGGGAGCAAACAGG
rnacentral:rRNA from 1 species